AGGGGUAUAGCUCAGCUGGUAGAGCGGCGGUCUCCAAAACCGCAGGUCGCGGGUUCGAAUCCUGCUGCCCCUGCCA
rnacentral:tRNA from 1 species